rnacentral:rRNA from 1 species
AAGUCUGCUGUUAAAAAGUGGAGCUUAACUCCAUCAUGGCAGUGGAAACUGUUGGGCUUGAGUGUGGUAGGGGCAGAGGGAAUUCCCGGUGUAGCGGUGAAAUGCGUAGAUAUCGGGAAGAACACCAGUGGCGAAGGCGCUCUGCUGGGCCAUCACUGACGCUCAUGGACGAAAGCCAGGGGAGCGAAAGGGAUUAGAUACCCCUGUAGUCCUGGCCGUAAACGAUGAACACUAGGUGUCGGGGGAAUCGACCCCUCCGGUGUCGUAGCCAACGCGUUAAGUGUUCCGCCUGGGGAGUACGCACGCAAGUGUGAAACUCAAAUGAA